rnacentral:rRNA from 1 species
UUUGGUGACUCAUAAUAACUUUACGGAUCACAUUAUGUGACAUAUCAUUCAAGUUUCUGACCUAUCAGCUUUAGACGGUAGGGUAUUGGCCUACCGUGGCUAUGACGGGUAACGGGGAAUUAGGGUUCGAUUCCGGAGAGGGAGCCUGAGAAACGGCUACCACAUCUAAGGAAGGCAGCAGGCGCGCAAAUUACCCAAUCCUAAUACAGGGAGGUAGUGACAAGAAAUAACAAUACAGAACCUUACGGUUUUGUAAUUGGAAUGAGUUAAGUAUAAACCCCUUAACAAGUAUCAAUUGGAGGGCAAGUCUGGUGCCAGCAGCCGCGGUAAUUCCAGCUCCAAUAGCGUAUAUUAAAGUUGUUGCAGUUAAAAAGCUCGUAGUUAAUCUUCUGUUAAUUUUUAUAUAUAAUAUUUCGAUAUUUAUAUAAUAUUAACAUAAUUCAUAUUACUUUUUAGUAUAUGAAACUUUACUUUGAGAAAAUUAGAGUGCUUAAAGCAGGCUAUUGCCUUGAAUACUCCAGCAUGGAAUAAUAUUAAGGAUUUUUAUUCUUCUUAUUGGUUCUAGAAUAAAAAUGAUGAUUAAUAGGAACAGUUGGGGGCAUUUGUAUUUAACAGUCAGAGGUGAAAUUCUUAGAUUUGUUAAAGACAAACUACUGCGAAAGCAUUUGCCAAGGAUGUUUUCAUUAAUCAAGAACGAAAGUUAGGGGAUCGAAGACGAUCAGAUACCGUCGUAGUCUAACCA